rnacentral:rRNA from 1 species
CAGUCGCCACGGUAAUACAGAGGGUGCAAGCGUUAAUCGGAAUUACUGGGCGUAAAGCGCGCGUAGGUGGUUUGUUAAGUCGGAUGUGAAAUCCCCGGGCUCAACCUGGGAACUGCAUCCGAAACUGGCAAGCUAGAGUAUGGUAGAGGGUAGUGGAAUUUCCUAUGUAGCGGUGAAAUGCGUAGAUAUAGGAAGGAACACCAGUGGCGAAGGCGACUACCUGGACUGAUACUGACACUGAGGUGCGAAAGCGUGGGGAGCAAACAGGAUUAGAUACCCCCGUAGUCCCUGUCUCUUAUAC